rnacentral:tRNA from 1 species
UGCGCCCGUAGUUCAAUUGGAUAGAAUCCCGGCCUUCGAAGCCGGUUGUUGCAGGUUCGAGCCCUGUCGGACGCAA